GGAGCUCGCUCGGCCUACAGCUCGCUUGUACCCGGCCGCCGUGUUGUUCCUGUUCGUCUUCAGCGCCUGCCGAGCACCGCCGCUUGGCCAUGGCGCACGGCCAUCCCGUCUGGACCUCCUCCAGCUCCUCCAUCCCCUGUUCCUUGGCGCUCGCCGAGGGCCUCUCCUUCAUCUUCUGUCGCGUCUCAACUCCCAUGGCCGCCUCUAUGCACGAGCUCGCCGGACGCCGCAGCAUAUACUCCCUGCUCGGCCUCCCCGGCGUGCUGCUCCCUCGCCUUGGCGCCCCUGCGAGUUCCUUCUCCCUCGCUCGGUUUCUAACUCGGGCCUCACCGGAUGCCGACACUGCUUCUCUGACCUCGCCUCGACACUCAAUCACUGCAGCACGCCAUGCUGUGUGUGCUACACUAUCAUCGCUCGCUUUCCUCGUCCUCGCCAAUUUUCUUCGUCGUUUCUCGGCUACAACCUCGUCAGCUCCUGUGAGUCGUGCGCGUCUUGUGUUCGGGUCGAGCCCAAGGAUUUUGAGAAAAAGGAAGCUCCAGUGCUUCGGCCGGUGAAAUGAAUAAAAUGGUGGUAGUCAUGGUCCUUGCGAAAUCCGAGAUCGACUUAGUCACUGUUGGGUCUAUGCUUCGUCGCCGAAGGUCUUCUAGGAAGAAGCGGCUUUCGGCUGAAGCUGUUUGUAUGAGAUGGCCGAAGGUUCCUCUUCAUGAAGCUUCGGUAUUACAAACCGACUUAAAGAUAGAAUGACCUUUUAGUCCAUAAAGGUCUGAGUCAAUGUUGUAAAUUUUUAUGAGGGGCAUAAUUGUAAUUCCUC